AGGCGGAGUCGGGCUUCAAAGGUGCGCCUGCGCAAGCGAGACGAGUUUUCUUUCCUUUUAGGCUGCCGGAUCCGUAGCUUAAUUCCUUGGAAGCGAUCCGUUUAAGCGGAAUUCCCCGGAGAAGGAAGAGGAAGAGGGCAACGGAUGGGCAGCGUAAACAAUCUCGCGGCUCAUAAAAAUCGUAAUAUUGUCUUCCUCGGAUAAAAGGGCGUUUACAUUCUUUUUGCACGGAAAGAACUGGAACCCUCAAAAUCUUAGAAUUCCAGGGGCUUUAAGAUUCGAAUGAAGCCAGCCAUCCUAUCCAAAAUCCUUUCAUGCUCUUGCACGGAAACUCAAGGAGAACAAGAAUCUGAGGGGAAACGGGAUGAGCCCACCACUAUGCAAAUAAUCUGACUCACAUGGAGGAAAACACUAAAAGAGGCAGUGAUCUACAGGGCUCCAACUAGCCCACUGCAGAACUAUUCCUUUUCACUGGCUACAGGACUUGGUAGCUGUGUAGCCAACGUCUUCGGCUGCUGGAGAGAAGUGCCUUGGACGGAUACAACCUCUUCGACUGCUGGAGAGAAGUGCCUUUGCCUUGUUCAGUAGUGAAAGCUGUGGUUUUGCUCAACAUGUGCUGAGAUAAAGGAAGGGACUGCCAGAAGAAGGAGCCAGGCUAAGCUGUUGGGACUUAGAGCUGUAUGUCAGAAAAUUUAAGGUUGAAACCAAACAUCCAGUCCAGGCAUCUUUCAGUUCAGCAGCUCUAUUUUGUGAUGCACUGCCUCUCUGUCUCAACUACUCCUAAGUGGAGAAAAAUAAGACUGACUGGUGGAAGAAAGCCAGGUUGCAGGACCAGACUGAUUGGAUGAAACAGCUUCCUCCAGAUCAGAAUUUUGUUAAACACCAGGUAAACUUGAGAGGGGCUGGCUGUUUGGAUCUUGCUGAAGGCCAAGGCACUUGAUUGCUGGAACAACAGAUAUUUGAACCUGUAUUAUCCCAUGUUGAAAAUGUAUGAUUGUGAACUAUCUUCCAAGUUUUAUUCUAGCAUGAUUCUUCUUCCAUAAAAUAUUACUUAGCUUUUCACCAUAAAUUGGUGAAAAUAA